UGGCAGAGGCGUCGUUCUUGGUGGUCGAGCCGCUGAUGGAGAAGAUUCAUAGAGAGAUUUGUUGGGUGGACGCUGACAUCCUUGCCGCCGUCCGGCAGCAGGACCAGGGCAGUACUUACAAAAAGAGGCAAGCUGAAGAGGAAAGUUGGAAGAAGGAGAGCAACUGUGCGUUUUUCUGACUGCCUCUUCCUCAUGUCGCUAAGUGUCACAGGCAAGAGGACCAAGUGCAGGCUGGUGAGCAUCAGGAGUCCAGUCGAUUGGCUUCGGCCUUUGAGGUGCUGCUGGCUAGCGGUGCCACUUCCGAGCGUCUCCUCACCCCUCACUCCUGUGGCCCCUUCAACUGGUGGCACUUUUGCUUGUCUCUUGUUAUCUUUUUGAAAUGGUGAAGCUGACAGUGAUAGCCUGUAUCACUGAUGGCCUUCCAUUGGCGGAGUGCUUAGAUGGUGGUUAUGUGAAGGAUGUUGUCUUCUACAAGCAGCAAGAAAAAUUGUUGUUCAAAAACAUAUCUAAAGGCCAACAUGAAUCAUCAAGACUGUCAACUGAGACUGGACCAUACCGUUCCAGGUCAAGGUAUGUAUUUACAUUUUUUGCUUUCAGCAAGAUGAGGAUAAUGUGACUGUUUGUGUGCGUGCGUGCUAUAUGAUGCAUUUUCGCUUUCAUAGAUGAGGAUACUGUGACUAUUUGUGUGUGUGCGUGCUAUAUGAUACAUUUUUGCUUUCAUCAAGAUGAGGAUACUGUGAAUGUUUGUGUGGGUGCUUUAGUGGUUCUAGGUUAUUGUAGUAGUAUAACUAGGCUUCGUUUACACAGAAUCCAAAUAGAAUUUAGUUUGGAGCUGGUCAAGACAUGGUGUAGUAUUAUAACCUAUUAAUUUGGUUGGACUGGUCAAGUGUUCUAUUAAUUCUUGCUGCAGUAUUCAUUCUGUAGUAUGUACUAGCUCUUAGACAAAAUAAUUGUUUAGCCCCUGAUUUCUUAGCUACUGGUUGGUCCUGUAAAGCUACAUCCUUGCUUUCCGAUUAGUGUUAUUUGAAUCUAUAGCAGUGGAUAUGCGUAGAAGAUCCGCUAAUUUGUUUUUUUCUUUAUUUAUCAUGUGAUGGACAUUUGUCGGAGCUUUGCCGCCUUCAUCUCGACUCCGUCGGGGUUCCAGGUUCACCCCCCGGUGGCACGGUGAUUUGCGGCGGCUGCGGGGUCUUCCCCUGCUUUGGUGGUGGCCGGCAGGCGUUUGCCCGGCUAGAUCUGGCGCGGUGCAGGACCUGUGGUGCAUGGCCUGGUUUAUGGGGGCGGGAGACACAUGGGUCCUUGGUCCGGCAGCGUCGGCAGGACGCUGUGGGCCCGUCUGCUUUCUUGCUAGAUACGUGUUUAGGAAAAAACUACAAUACUCCUUCAAGGUUUAUACAUCAAUUGCAACGGGUUUUAGGAAUGCAUCACUAUAUUGAUUUUGGUUUAUACAUGAACUGCAGAGAGUUUUAUAAAUGUAUCAUUAUAUUGUUUUGGGUUUAUAUAUGAAUUGCAUGUUUUAGGCAUGUGAAAAUCAGAGCUCAGGCGGCAGGUGAUUUUUUUUCUUGCUUCUAAUGCUAGGAUGAUGUUCUGUAUACUAAAAAGGACUCGUGCACACUUGCUUUGCUCCUUAGUGUUUAUGAUCAGUUACCAAACAUUAUAAUAGGAUAUACACAUUGCUUCAAAACUGAGUAUGUUCCUUGGUGAUGGUGUAUUUAUUAUGAAAAUAAAUAAAACUGCUGACACAUGGUGAUGUGGUAUUCCUACUCGAUUACUUACCCUGUUUCUGUGACAAAGGCCCGUGAUAGAUAUGGUUAGACACAUAUUGAGCAUCCAAUUUCAUAAAUAUUGAGCAUACAAUUUCAACUUCAACUUAAACAUGAGAUUGUCUUGCUGUCAAGUUGUGUUCAGUUCUUUCCAUGUAGAACUUACUAGAAAUUCUUGCAUACAUCCUAAACAAAUAAAGAGCUGCAUGCAUUUAAAUUAAGCAGUUCCAAAGAAAGAAUUAUUUCAAGUUAUUUUGUUUGGAGAUGAGUUGCCUUUUCUACACCUUUGUGUAAAGGAUGGAGCCUCCACAAUGCCUAUGAGCCAUGCUUUUUCCCACCCAGGAAAAUGGUCUAUUUUCAAGUGGCAUCAUACGGUGAAGGAGGGGAUCUGGAUCAAGAGCCGUAAUGGUGCUUGUGAUGGCAUGUCUAGCACUUGCGCGACCCUGGAGUCUGACUUCUUCUUGCAAGUUGACCAUACUAUUGUGAGAAUCUCGGCCAGGAUCAUUCUUUAUAUCAUGUUGGAUCAUCUUGGAAUUCGUAGAGCCAUUUACCGUCGAAGGAUGUACUCACAGAACAAAUCAGUGUGAUUAUGCUUUUCUACACUUCUGUCCAAAGUAAUGAGACAUGUAUUCUGUACUGUACAGCUACCCUCUAAUGCACUACUCAGCCUUCAGUAUCUGUAUGUACAAAUGACCUAAUUAUUAUGAAUGACAUAUGGAGUGUGCUGCUUUCUAUAUAAAUGGCUUGCUCUAAUUCUGAUUUAUUAUACCACAUUGCUUUUGAUCCAUUCCUUUUUGCCAAACUUGAUGCGUCAAGCUUUGAGCUACUAUACUGACAGCGAAGGUAAAAUUCCACAAUGUACAAGUUCAUAUCACCUACUAACCCACAUGUACUAUACUGCGGCAUGCUCAUAUCACCUACUAAUCCACAAGUACAAGUUCUAUGUCAAAGAUAAUCGUUCUCUCUGCUAAAAGCAUGGGCUCUGCAUUAUGUGCCUACUUUCAGUCCUUCCUAUCCUAUAUUAAUGAUUUUGGUACCAAACUUAAUGAUGAGUGGUUAUCUUUUGUGGUCUUAUGUACAUGCUGAACUCAACAUUGCCUUAUAAUUUCAUGUCGAUAUUGAACUCCAUUAUGUUUUAUCACAAACGAAUGUUUCUUCUUCACUUUAGUUUGUUAUCAUGUUUCAUACGCUAAACGUAGAUUUUUACUAACUUAGCACUACUUGCUUUACCAAAAUGUUGGGACCGGCACCACUACUUGCUUUACCAAAAUGUUGGGACCGGCAGGGCGCGAUCCCGAUCCAGUCUAGUAUAAAGGAUGCUAGGCAACCCGCCCACCUGAGGCACUCGCGACGCGCGAGCGAUCUCUUUCACUCGAUCUGCCUCGCUGGAGGUUUUUCACCGUGCUGUCAACAAUCCCACGGCUUGUUUCUUUCCACGCUGAUGUUUCUUGCUUAGGCAGAUGACGGGUGGGCCUUCGUCUUUCGCGGGUCUGGUUUGGCAGUGUGCGUGCUGUGUGUGCGUCGCAUGCGUCUUGGGUGAUAAAAUUUUAACCGCGGGGAUCCUCGACGACUCAUCCACCAAUCCCCGUCCUCCUCCAGCCCGCAUCUAAGGUCGGGGCACAACCCUAGCCGCCACCUCUCCUCCCCCCGUUCAUCCUCUCCAGCUGCCGCCGCCACCCUUGUCUUUCCUCCUCUCUCCCCGUGCAACAGCGCAUCUGGCCGUGGGGGCGGGCGAGGCUACAAGGCGACGGGCCGAGGCGGCAGCGUCUUCUCCUGCCCACGGAUGGAUGAGCCGCUCACAGGUCGAGUUGGGGCUGGCAAGACUGCAGGACAAUGGCCCGAGGUGGGGGUGUAGGGAUCCAGACGGAGAGGUACUCUCAGGUCGAGGUGGCAGCGCCGUCGGUGAUGCCAAAGUGAGCUUCUCUGCGUCCUUCUCACACUUUGCUCCUGAUCUCUAUCACUCUCUCUUUCUUCCCAUCUAUGCAAUAUUGUGCAAGUGUUGUGGUUCCUUUCUUAUUUUUCUGAAUAAACCGGCAAGCCCAGCAGGGGGAGGGAAUUGGGCGAGUGAGACCAGCGGGGGAAGGAACAGGGCGUGGCCUCACGCGCUGGCUCGUCAUCUGCUUCACCAUUACUUUCAGCUGAAGAAGACAAAGACCAGCUGCUAAUGGACGCCGUCCGAGCUGGUGUUGUUUACCACAGACUCUGAGCCAAGUUUGCGAGAUUUACGGACUCGGUGCAGUAACACUGUAAAUAGGUAUAGAUUCAGACCUCACCAAAGACAGGUUCAUCCUAUUGCUUGCCUCGGUAUUCCAUAGAUUAUAUGCAUUGUAUGCCUUUUGCUUUCCUAGCUUGGUAAGUUGGUUAGCCUGAAUUUUAUAAGGUAAAAUGCUAAUUUUACAUGUUGUAAAUAGAUUAUGAUCUAAUAGUCAGCAAUCUCUCGGCACGUUUGCCUCUCACUAGUGUGUGUCAUUGAUGUUUUUCUUAAUCUAUGCAUGCGCUUGUAUCAUGCUUCUCAUAUAUUAGAAUAAAACAAAUUAUGUUGACAAGCUUCAUUACUCUGUACCGAUAAAACCUUGAUCGAAUUUAAGAAGGCAUGUGUUCAGGACCCUAUUCUUUUUCUUGCAUUUAACCGCUGCCAUCAUUUUGUUGAGCAGCCAGUUGUUUCUGCCUCCAUCUGUUUUCCAUCCCGGUCAGCUCGCCUCCUCACUCCAGUUUUGUGAAGAUUCAGCUGCAGUUCAGCUCGCUCGACGCCUCGGCUGCUCUCUUUCGUCGUGCCAAGCAGUCUUGCUCCUUCGGCGCUUCAACAACAGUUCACCGAUUAGUUUAUGAGCCGGCGGCAGCAACAGUGGUCCGCAGCACGGCAGCAGGUAGCACGAGCGGAGAAGGCAGCGAGAGGAGAAGCGGCAGCAGCCAGCAGCCAAAACCAGCAGACACCCGGCACCCGGCGUGGCGGCUUGGAGGGCCCUAGCUGUGGUGGGCAGCGAGAGUUGGCAAGGCCGGCGGCCAACAGUUGGCAACAGCGAGAAGCGAGUGAAACUGUGAAAGAUGUGGGUUGAUUUGCGGAAAGGAGGAGAACAGAUAAGGUCUGGUUGGGGGAAAGGAGGAGAGACGAGCGUGCGUGGGAGUUGGUCGGUGUAUUGGGCUUAAAUGUAUUUGGGCUGGGCCAAACGCCAGUGCUAUUUGGUGCUUCUUAGAAAACAUUUAUGAUCAGCAGUCAUCUAUCUAUCAUCAACCCGUAUUUAUUU